GGAUGAAGGGCUCAGCCGCAGCUACGUGGCGGUGUCUGCGCAACGUCCGCGUGGCCACAAGCGUCCAGUGCCAAGUGCCUUGGCACGGGAGCCUGGUGCUUGGGGAGGCCUGCAUUUGGGGGUGGAAAACAAACCCCGGAACCUGUGCGAAGAGGUGGCCACGUAUCUAUAUCCCCAUGCCAGACGCUCCCCGAGGUGUUGCAGUGAGAGGAGCGCUGGAGCCCUGUCCCAUGCUGACAAAGAAUGAAACUGGACAACGCAGGAGGAGGCAGGGUAUGAGCCUGUUUCUUCCACAGUGAGAAAGGCAAGAAAGUGCACGCAGUAAAGGGAAGGGAGCCUCCACUAGCCUAGCCGGGAGGGUGUUCUGAGUAGGAUACCUAACCAGAGCUCUUGGCCUAGGGGUUCUGAAGGGACUCACGAGGGAGCUUGUGGAAGGGCCCGGGCCCUUGUGGAAGACACAGAAGAACACGAUCCCCGCCUUACAUGGAGACUGUAUAUAGUUCAGUUGGUUCUUUGGUUUGGUUUUUAAAACUAUGGGACGCUUCACUUGCGCAGGGGCCUGGCUGAUGUCUGUAUCAUGCCAAUUUUAGUAUAUGUGCUGCUGAACUGAGCGCUGUGUGUGUGUGUGUGUGUGUGUGUGUGUGUGUGUGUGUGUAUCUGAGUGUAUGUAUAUUUGGAUGGAUGGAUGGAUGCCUGGCUGGCUGGCUGGCUGGAUGGAUAUGGAUAUGUAUCCAUGUGUUGGUUCUUUUUCUUUUCUGUCAGGAUCUGGUCUAUCCAGUGCUCACGCAGUGUCCCCUGCAGGGCCCGUGUGCCCGCCCUCGACUAUCCUGUCUGGAUAGUGCUCCGGUGUGUGUCCCAGACAGCCCAAAGACACCUGCCGCAUUUUUGGUUUCCCCCUGGGGUCCCUGGAGGGUCUUGACUGGGCAGGCUGUCGGGGGCCUUCCCGACUCCAUCUGAGGGCCACUGUGCUCCAAGCCUAAGAAAAUGCUAACUCCUCUCUCGCUUAUUCCUGGUACUCGACUCGACCCGUGCUCCCCAGUCUGCUCUGAAGCCACGAGACGCCAGGGGGUUUCGAGGGAUUGCUUGGGUGGAAGUCUGGGCCUGGACCGUGAUGCAGUUUAGCUGUGUCACCCUGGAAAACUGACUGGUCUCUCUGCGUUUCGGUCCACAGCGGGGGGUGGACAAUAAGGGCACGUUUACACUUUUGAGUUAGCCACACUGAAAAAAAACAUCCUCGUGUGGGACAAGGUCUCCUAACUUGCGUUCCAUUUCCCGAGUGGGGUCCAACUUGGGAGCCGACCCUCCCGCCGCUUGAACCCCCGCCCCCACCCCCGAGUGCCGAGGGAUGGCAGGAGGGCUACUCCGGAGGGUGUCCCUCUCCAAGGGACACUCCAUCCCCGCCUUCCCCUUCCCCGGGGCCUUGACCUCGGGCUUCUUCCCAGGGCGUGCGCCCGCAGCCACCGGGUGUCCUGCCGCCUCUAUCCAGCCAGAUCUUCUGCCUCCACGCCCGCAGUCGAGACGGUGCCCCCCCUACCCCCACCCCCACCCCCACCCCCACCCCCAGGGGCUCUCUCCUCUGAGUCAGUCAGCGCACCGCGAGCGGG